rnacentral:rRNA from 1 species
UACGUAGGGUCCGAGCGUUGUCCGGAAUUACUGGGCGUAAAGAGCUCGUAGGUGGUUUGUCGCGUUGUUCGUGAAAACUCACAGCUCAACUGUGGGCGUGCGGGCGAUACGGGCAGACUUGAGUACUGCAGGGGAGACUGGAAUUCCUGGUGUAGCGGUGGAAUGCGCAGAUAUCAAGAGGAACACCUGAGGUGAAGACGGGUUGCUGGGCCAACACUGACGCUGAUGCGCGAAAGCCAGGGGAGCAAACGGG